UAAUUGAAGAGUUUGAUCAUGGCUCAGAUUGAACGCUGGCGGCAGGCUUAACACAUGCAAGUCGAGCGGUAGCACAGGGGAGCUUGCUCCCUGGGUGACGAGCGGCGGACGGGUGAGUAAUGUCUGGGAAACUGCCUGAUGGAGGGGGAUAACUACUGGAAACGGUAGCUAAUACCGCAUAACGUCGCAAGACCAAAGAGGGGGACCUUCGGGCCUCUUGCCAUCAGAUGUGCCCAGAUGGGAUUAGCUAGUAGGUGGGGUAAUGGCUCACCUAGGCGACGAUCCCUAGCUGGUCUGAGAGGAUGACCAGCCACACUGGAACUGAGACACGGUCCAGACUCCUACGGGAGGCAGCAGUGGGGAAUAUUGCACAAUGGGCGCAAGCCUGAUGCAGCCAUGCCGCGUGUGUGAAGAAGGCCUUCGGGUUGUAAAGCACUUUCAGCGAGGAGGAAGGUGGUGAGCUUAAUACGUUCAUCAAUUGACGUUACUCGCAGAAGAAGCACCGGCUAACUCCGUGCCAGCAGCCGCGGUAAUACGGAGGGUGCAAGCGUUAAUCGGAAUUACUGGGCGUAAAGCGCACGCAGGCGGUUUGUUAAGUCAGAUGUGAAAUCCCCGGGCUCAACCUGGGAACUGCAUUUGAAACUGGCAAGCUAGAGUCUCGUAGAGGGGGGUAGAAUUCCAGGUGUAGCGGUGAAAUGCGUAGAGAUCUGGAGGAAUACCGGUGGCGAAGGCGGCCCCCUGGACGAAGACUGACGCUCAGGUGCGAAAGCGUGGGGAGC
rnacentral:rRNA from 1 species